GAUGAACGCUGGCGGCGUGCCUAAUACAUGCAAGUCGAGCGAACGGACGAGAAGCUUGCUUCUCUGAUGUUAGCGGCGGACGGGUGAGUAACACGUGGAUAACCUACCUAUAAGACUGGGAUAACUUCGGGAAACCGGAGCCUAUACCGGAUAAUAUUUUGAACCGCAUGGUUCAAAAGUGAAAGACGGUCUUGCUGUCACUUAUAGAUGGAUCCGCGCUGCAUUAGCUAGUUGGUAAGGUAACGGCUUACCAAGGCAACGAUGCAUAACCGACCUGAGAGGGUGAUCGGCCACACUGGAACUGAGACACGGUCCAGACUCCUACGGGAGGCAGCAGUAGGGAAUCUUCCGCAAUGGGCGAAAGCCUGACGGAGCAACGCCGCGUGAGUGAUGAAGGUCUUCGGAUCGUAAAACUCUGUUAUUAGGGAAGAACAUAUGUGUAAGUAACUGUGCACAUCUUGACGGUACCUAAUCAGAAAGCCACGGCUAACUACGUG
rnacentral:rRNA from 1 species